rnacentral:lncRNA from 1 species
UUUUUUUUUUUUUUUAACUAUUUGCUUUAAAACAUUGAAUUCGGUUUUUACUACCCUAUAGGAUGUAAAUACAUUCAGGAUUUUCUUUUAUUAUACACAUGCAUACACACACACACACACACACACACACACACACACACACAAAAUUUAGUUCUUUGCAAUGUAGUGGUUGAUAAAAUAAUCUACUCAGUCCUGCCAGAAAUAUCCGGGAGUCAGAGUCUACCUUUGCCUUAAAUGAAAGGUCCUAUCAGGUUCUUUCAACCACUUCCAGUAAAACAAAACUUCAAAACAUAAACUGUGUUUUAACCUAAAGUUUGUGUCAAAUUCAUCUGAAGACACAUACAGUUAGAUGUCAGAAGAACUAGGUGGUACCAUCUUCAAACACAGUGACAACUAAGCACUUCAGAAGAUGAAUGCAAAGCUCCUGUUUAGACAUUUCUGCUAAGUAGUGCUUUUAUAUCUUUCAUAAAAGUAUUUGUAUUUGGAUCUCUUUAAAUUAUAUGAAUUUUGCUGCUCCCACAAAGACGUCAUAUCCCUACCCAUCCUAGAGGACCUGCUGUACCCGGAGCAGUCAAUAAAAACCCAUUUUCCACCUCCCCUAGUCCCAGCACUGCUGCUGGGAGCCUGGUAGACUCAGGACCCAUCACCAACCAAAACCCCUGCCCACCCAAAUAUCACUCCCCUUCUGGCCCUUCCACCCCUUCUGCCCAGUCUUCUCUAAUAGGACAGACUCCUAGUUGGUCUGCUCCCAUAAAGACACCAUAUCCAGACACAUCAUAGAGGACCUGCUACACUCAGAGCAGUUUAGCAGUUGAGGACCUGCUGCACUCAGAGCAGCUGAGGACCAGCUGCACUCAGAGCAGUUAGAAAAUAACUUAACUGCUCCACUGAAGAUCCAAUAGUAUGAAGACCUCCCAGGAGAUCUACUGCAGCCAGGACAAAAGAUCAUCAACUUCUCCGCCCCUGUGAAGAGCCACCAGUUGGAAGGCCCCACAGGAGAUCUGCUAUGGCCAUGGCCACAGGCCCCCAGAGAGACCUGAAGCAACCCAAGGACAAAAGAGGCAGACUUCAGAUAGUCACCCAGACCAACAAAUGCCAGAAAUAUCCAGAUGACAAGACCAUAAGCAACAGAAGCCAAAAUAUGUGGACAUCAUCAGAACUUAGUUUUCUCACCACAGCAAGCCCUGCAUACACCAACACACCUGAAAUUCAGGAAUCUAUCCUAAAAUCUUCUCAUGAAGAUAAUAGAGUCCUUUAAGGAGGAUAUCAGUAACUCAUUGAAAGAAAUACAGGAAAACGCAGGUAAACAGAUGAAGAAAUUGAAUAAAUCAAUCUAAGACCUAAAAGUGGAAGUAGAGACAAUAAAGAAAACACAAAUGAAGGCAAACUUGAAAAUGGAAAAGCCUAGGAAAGAGGUCAGGAAUUACAGAUGUAAGUACUACCAACAAAAUAUAAAAGCUAGAAGAGAGAAUCUCAGGUGUAGAAGAGACAGUAGAAAAGAUUGACACAACUAUCAAAGAAAAUUCAAAACAUAAAAAACUCCUAACCCAAACAUCCAGGAAAUUCAGGACACAAUGAAAAGACCAAAUCUAAGAAAAAUUCGAAUAGAGAAAAACAAAGAUUCCCAGAUCAAAGGACUUGAAAGUGUCUUCAACAAAAUCAUAGGAGAAAACUUCCCUAACCUAAAGAAAGAGAUGGCCAUAAAGGUACAAGAAUCCUAUAAUAAUUGGGACCAAAAAAGAAAAUCCUCUGGUCACAUAAUUAUCAAAACACCAAAUGCACAG